GCGGAUUGGCAAACUUCACACACCUUUGACAACAUUAUGGAGAACUCUCAGUAAUGCCUUUUCCUCACGAUGUUUUCCUUCACCGUUAAAUCCAGUGAUAUUUAAAAGCUUAAAACGCGUAAAACUCCGAAUA